rnacentral:rRNA from 1 species
AGCUUGCUCUUUUGCUGACGAGUGGCGCACGGGUGCGUAACGCGUAUACAAUCUACCUUUUACAGGGGGAUAGCCUUUAGAAAUGAAGAUUAAUAUCCCAUAGUAAGUAGUUUUGGCAUCAAGACAACUUUAAAGCUUCGGCGGUAAAAGAUGAGUAUGCGUUCUAUUAGCUAGAUGGUGUGGUAACGGCACACCAUGGCAACGAUAGAUAGGGGCCCUGAGAGGGGGAUCCCCCACACUGGUACUGAGACACGGACCAGACUCCUACGGGAGGCAGCAGUGAGGAAUAUUGGACAAUGGGCGAGAGCCUGAUCCAGCCAUGCCGCGUGCAGGAAGACUGCCCUAUGGGUUGUAAACUGCUUUUAUACAGGAAGAAACCUCAGAACGUGUUCUGAGCUGACGGUACUGUAAGAAUAAGGAUCGGCUAACUCCGUGCCAGCAGCCGCGGUAAUACGGAGGAUCCAAGCGUUAUCCGGAAUCAUUGGGUUUAAAGGGUCCGUAGGUGGAUAAUUAAGUCAGGGGUGAAAGUCUGCAGCUCAACUGUAGAAUUGCCUUUGAUACUGGUUAUCUUGAAUUAUUGUGAAGUGGUUAGAAUAUGUAGUGUAGCGGUGAAAUGCAUAGAUAUUACAUAGAAUACCAAUUGCGAAGGCAGAUCACUAACAAUAUAUUGACACUGAUGGACGAAAGCGUGGGGAGCGAACAGGAUUAGAUACCCUGGUAGUCCACGCCGUAAACGAUGGUCACUAGCUGUUCGAACUUCGGUUUGAGUGGCUAAGCGAAAGUGAUAAGUGACCC